AGGGCAGCUACCCAGCAAUGGGAUGCGAAUCUCGAAAGCCUGUCUCAGUUCGGAUUGGAGGCUGAAACCCGCCUCCAUGAAGUUGGAUUCGCUAGUAAUCGCGCAUCAGCCAUGGCGUGGUGAAUACGUUCCCGGGCCUUGUACACACCGCCCGUCAAGCCAUGGGAGCCGGGGGUGCCUGAAGUUCGUGACCGCAAGGAGCGACCUAGGGCAAAACUGGUGACUGGGGCUAAGUCGUAACAAGGUACC
rnacentral:rRNA from 1 species